rnacentral:tRNA from 1 species
UGGGCUAUAGCCAAGCGGUAAGGCAACGGACUUUGACUCCGUCACUCGUUGGUUCGAAUCCACGAAUCCAGCUAGCCCAGCCA